ACUUUCAGAAGCGUUUCAAAGGUAAACUUGCUUGUGCAAGUAACUCCCACAGAAAAUGUGAGGAAAGUAACACUCGAUUAUAAGCCGAUUAAUUUUGAAGAAAUGGUUUUCAAAGAAUCUACCGCACCUACCAACGAUUACUUUUCUGCUCAAUUCCUCCUUUCAUUCAAGUAUCUUGGCAACCACUUAAUAACAAUAAGUGCAGGUGUUACAGAUGAAAACAAUUUUGAUUGGGAGACUGGACCUAGUUCUUCACUUCAAGUAGAAGUUUUUGAGCAGCGAAAAAAAUAAGAUGAAAAGUGAGCCUCAAUAUUUAAAGUUAUAUCGUGUCAUUAUCAAAUAAAUAGUUUACUUUCUACAUCCCUUA
rnacentral:lncRNA from 1 species